AAAAAAAAAAAAAAAAAAACCACCACCAACCUCAACCCCCUAAUCUUCUGUUUUAGCAAUUGACAGCUGCCAGGAAUAUAAAAGCAGCAUCACAGUUUCUGUUCAAUGAAAGAACCGAGGCAGCUGUGUGUAACAUGCCGCAAGUGGGACACGUUCCUCAGUGUAGAGCAGCCCAUAAUCACAUUAUGCAACAUCCGCUUACACUGCUCAAGUGCUUCGCAUAGGAGAGGGCCUGGAAAACCAGCGGCACAGGAGGCAGCAGUGGGAAGGCCCCUUUUAGGUACUUGGAAGCUGUUCUAAGGUCUCCCUGGAGCUUCUGUUUUCUAACCUGAACAACUCGAGCUCUCUCAGCCUAUCUUCAUUGGAAAGGUGCUCCGGCCCUCUCAUCAUCUUCAUGGACUUCCUCUGGACUUGCUCCCACAGAAAUCCUUCUCCAGGAUGGUGUUUUCUUUCUGCCUGUAUGAUAUUGCCUCAAGAGAGAUGCAGCACAGCUGGUGAAUGAAUACAUGUGCUUUUUGA